ACCAAUGACUGUGCCACGUUGCAUACGCCAGUUCUCGACCGACCACUGAAGUUAAGCAACGUUGGGCGUGGUCAGUACUUGGAUGUUUGACCGUCUGGGAAAUCACGUGUUGUUGGUU
rnacentral:rRNA from 1 species